CCGAACCAACGGUCAGGUGCGCGGCUGGAACGGAACUGCGCAUGCGCGGGAAAUGUAUCGAAACUUAAACUAGAAGCGGAGGAAGAGCAGAGAUGAAGCUUGAUCCCGACAGAACCGGAUCCUUCAGACUUCAGCUGGAAGCGGAGGCAGACUCAGAGUGAAAGUCUGAGCGCCGACCCACAAACUGCUUCCAGACCUCCUCGUUAGGACCGGCAGCAGAGCGGGACAUCGUCACCGCCGGCGGAGCCAGGCCGGAUUCCUGGGAGGUGGCGUCAUGCGCAGCUGCUCCUCCCCGGGGGGGUCCAGACUCAGUCAGGGGAGGAGGGGGUGUGGGCCAGAUGAGGUCAAAAAACGGCGAGUUUUCUUCCUCCCGCCGGUCGCAGCUCACAGAGAAAUGCGACGCUCUGCAGGAGCGAGAUCGUUCUGGAUCUCCAUCUCCGAACCAUCACAGAUUCACAGUUCAGAGUUCACUUUAUUAUCAGGAGACGAACCUCUGAAAAACUACAGCUUCAAUUACAAAGCACAGACUGUAAGACAAACAGGUGAGUGAAGCUCCUCCCCAAAAAACCCUCCUGUGAUGCUCCUCCCCCUCCUCCCCCCAGAUGCGUCUCCUCUGUCGCUCCUUAUGGUGGAGUAAAAACCUAAAGUCCCGGGACGCCUCCGUCCUCAGCCGUCCCCCUCCUCUUCAUGGGACCGGAUGUCCUCCGGGUCGGGCGGCUCCUCCAGCGCCUCCUGCUGGAUGUGCUGGAUGGACACGAUGCCGGUGAGGAGCGCGUAGCUCAGCAUGGCGCCCAGAGCCACCAGAGCGGACAGCAGCUGCUUCCGCCGCUUGUUGGGGACGUUGUCGAAGUCUCCGGCCUCCGGCUGGGGGGGCGACUUCUGGCUGCAGCCGUCUGAGGAAAAACAGGACGGGGGAGGGGGGGGUCACUGGUCAGACUGAGCAACAUGAAACCAAAGGAGCCAGAAGUUCUGGGAUCUUCUGGCUUCAGUCCAAACACACAAGCUCCUCCUCCUCAUCGUCCGUUUACCGCCGUUUCCAUGACGCCUCACAGACUCCUCACCUCUGCCGUCUCGGGGGAAGUAGAGCAGCAGGAUGUUGCUGCAGAAGUUGGUCAGGUUGUCCAGGGAUCUCAGAUGCUGCUGCAGCUUCCCGUUGGGCAGCUUACACCUCAGGAUCGGCGCCAGAUGACCGAAGACGUAGGCGUCCAGAGAGGAGGGCCUGCCGAGGAGAAAGAGGGCGGGAGGAGGGUUACCUCUGGAACCGAUACUGGUGGUGGGUAGAGAGUAGAGCAUUGACUGUAUACGAGUACUGGACUGAGUGACCCCGCCCCCUAUCGUUCCAAACAGGAAGUACCUGCUGGCUCCAAGAAGCCAAAAUUCUUCUUCAUAAUCUGUAGUUCAAGUUACUCAAUUGACCAAUCAGAUACCUCAGUAACAGUAGGCGGAGCCUGUUGGCCCCCACAUCCAACGUUCAAAACGUUGACUGAUUGGAACGAGUGGUUGCCAUAGAAACGAUGACUUAAACCGAAUUGGACCAAUCACACGGCGGCGUCUGCAUCACAAAAAUGGCGACUGAAUCGACAUCAUUUGGUUGGAGCCGGAAGUGAACGGAUUACGUCACUCAGUCCAGUUCUCUUAUACAGUCACUGCUGGUCUGAACGUGGAGGAACUCACGAGUCCCCGAAGAAAAACUUCUGGGAGCCGAGUCGUUGGGACAGCAGGUCCAUGCACUCCGUGGCGUCACGAAACAACUGCAGAAGAAGACACAGAGAAGCUGGGUCAGUUCUGGUUCCUGUAGGAGACCCGGACUGAACCAGAACCAGAACCAGCAUUCGUUUACUGAGAGCUUCUGAGCAGAAACGGUACAGAGUCGUCUACAUAAAGGUGAGCUCAGAAAACAGACCACGUCUGUGGUCACAUGACCCAGCGGACGGCGAGCUGUCGGUACAGAUCUGAUUCGCCCCGAGAUUGAAGAGUUUAAAUCUCAACAAUCAUGGUGGCGCAGAGGUAGAGCGGUCAACCUCUGGUCAGAGAAUGGCAGGUUAGGUUCCCCACUUGCCCCAGAGAGUAAACCUGCAUUACUCCUGGGGGUAAUAGGUGGCACCAGUGUACGGCAGCAGAGUUCUGGUUCUGGUUUAGUCAGACAACCAGUCCAAAGUGAACCUGAACCGGCUUCUGAAAUCGAUUCUGAAGCUUCAGGUUUUUGUCUGCAUCCUGUUCUCCAACAUUUGAGGCUGAAACGUUCCUGAGGGAGACUUCACACCAACCGCAGUGCUGAGGUUCACACGGCUGACGCUCACACGGCUGAGGUUCACAUGGCUGACGUUCACACGGCUGACGUUCACACGGCUGACGCUCACACGGCUGACGUUCACACGGCUGAGGUUCACACGGCUGAUGCUCACACGGCUGACGUUCACACGGCUGACGUUCACACGGCUGACGCUCACACGGCUGACGUUCACACGGCUGACGUUCACACGGCUGACGCUCACACGGCCCGAACCGCCGACACUUCAGAGUUACACAUCAUGGCGAAGAAUAACUACAGCUCCACAACAGUCAGUGUGAAACGUGCAUGUGUGUCGACGUGCAUGUGUGUGAGUUUAUCCAAAUCCCAGAAGGAACCUGUUUAUUCCUUCUGCGGUUCUGGAGGUUUCCACUGGCAGGAAUCCGGUUCUCCGUUUGAGCCGGUCCCUGGGCGCCGUUUAACCUCUGACCUCCAUUCUGGAGCAGCAGAAGUCCAUCAUUAAGGUCCAAUCAAGCCUUCACUUCCCAUCAUGCACUCUGGCUUCCUCCCCAGCAGGGACACAUGGAAACGAUGGCUUCAUCCAACCUGGAACAGCAUGGGGGGGGCAGGUUCUGGUGGUACCGUCAGCUGACCCAGAGGAUUACUGUCAUCGGUUCUUUUGGUGAUAAUUUGGAGCAUUCUCACAAAAGUGAUUCUCACUCGAGUUGAUGUCAAAGAAUGACACAGAAUCCCAGAAUAAAACAAAUAAAAAGAAGUUAUUUCAUUGACAAUCUUUAGGACCGACUCCACUGUAAAAAUGACCUCCAAGCAUGAAGACCAGACGACCUACAAUCUGACUUCUCCAAGAAGAUUCUUUAUAUAUUUAUUCUCCUUUGGUUUUCCAACGUUUGACUGACAGACUUUCACUCGUCGAUGCAGACAAACUUUAUCGGAACGAUUUUUCAGGUAGUUGGCAUCCCCAGGUUGACCUCAGACGACCUCACCUCCUUCUCCAGCUCCUCUCCCGCCUCCAGACGCUCGUCUCCCUGCAGCAGCCGCAGCUUCUCCAGCUGCUGGCUUUGCAUCCGUCCAGGCAGGAAGAAGUUGAGCGGGAAGGGCAUGUGUUCGGCGAACCAGCGGCGAGUCACGUCCACGUAGUUCUUUGGCUCGAUCCAGAAGGCGUAGAUCUACAGGAACCAGACCCGACAGUCACCAGCAGGUCCAGCAGAAGAGAAGAAGAAGAAGCCUCACCAGAGCCGGCCGGAGUUUCUCCUCCAUCAGGGAGAUGAAGGCCAGGCUGUCGGCGCCCUCCUUCGCUGAAAGAUCAUAGUCGGCGUUGAACUUCUGGGAAAACAAACGUGUUUAUUUUGGCAGGUAAAGGACAGGUGAGAGUGAGCAGGUAAACUGAUAGCAGAGGGCGGGAUCGGUCAUGAUGAAUGAAUGAUCCGGAAUCGUUUUAGGAAUUUUAAAUAAACAAAAAUUGAUAUAAUUUAAAGCAAAAAACAAAAAAAGCUAACGGCGGAGCGUUUUUCACUGGGAUGUUUUUGAAGAACACAAACAUGGCUGACCUUUCAGAUUGGCCAGUUAGCUUUGGAUAGAAGUCAGAUAAGAUCAGAUCUAUCAGACCAACAUUACAUAUGUAGGAACUCAACAGACGAUGAGAUCUCAAUGUGCGCCUCAGACUAAAUCUAUUUAUUUAGUCUGAGGCGAGAAAAAGAGCGUUUCAUUAAAGCUGAUCUGAUGAAAACGUAACAUUAUCUCAGUUAAGGGUGUUGAGUUCAGGGAAUAUUUGUGACUUUUGAUGUAAGACUUUUGAGGAUUAAACCAAAUAUUUUUCAUGUCAGAAUUUUUAUGUUCUUAAUAAAAGUUAAACAAGUUUACUGAUCUACUGAUCUGAUUUACUUAAGGAUACACUUGGAGAAAAGUCAUAUUGGUCUCGAUCAGAGUUCUCACUCAGUUGACCUUGGACCCACUGAAGGCGGAGUCUGGCUGAGGCCGUGUGGGGCUCCAUUUGUGCCUAAAAUAUGUUUUUGCGUCCAUCGUCUACAUCUACUGAACAAGUUUAUUGAACAUUUGUUCAUGUCCAUGUACUACUGAGCAAAAUCUGAGAAACGACAGGAGCUAACAACGCUAGCGACUGUUGCUAAGGAGCUAACGACGCUAGCGACUGUUGCUAAGGACUCUUCUGACAAUUGUAGCCAGUACCAUCAAGGCAAGCUGAAUCACCUGGCCAUGCUUUUAUUGUGGAGGGUCCCAAACACUCUUUAAGCUCCAAGUUGAUGGAUGCACUUCCUGCUUCCUGCUGCCUACUUCCUGCUUCCUGCCACAUGCUGCCUGCUUUCAGCUGUUGCUGCUGUGGUUAGCAUUUGACCAGAACCUGCAAACCUGAUAACUGGCAAACCUGCCAGUUCAAAUCUCCUUAGAUACCCAUUGAUCACCUCACCGGUGAGUGUUGCCAUCGCGAUUAGAUUUGUUUUUCUUGACAACACAAUCACUCCAGGCUACAUGCUAAACUCACAUGGUUUAUCCAAACAUUUCGCUUCCUUUGAUUUACUUAGUUGAUUUUGUUUAAAUUCAUAGCAGAGAUUUUUCCUUCUAUUUUGUUUAAUUUUCCAUUUUUGUAGUAGUCUGUUUUGGAAAGUUUUCAUACAUUUGAUAAAAGAGAAAAAAAAAAGCGCUCCAUUGGAAUUUAAAACUGGAUUACUUGAUUAACUAUUUUGUCAUUAUUCCUGGAAAAAAAAAGUAUUUGAAUUGAAUGAAAGUGCACUUUGUUUUGAAAUGAAACCUUUGAAUCAAAUAGAAUUAUAUUUUGCUAAGUUUGAACUGAAUAUUUACAUUUAUUUCUUCUUACAAACAUAACUUUGUAAGUGAACUAAUCUCUGAUUUAUUUGUUUAAUUACUACCUUCACUGUGGUCAAACUGUUUUGUUGUGAUUCUCAUUUUGAUAUUUUCUGACUCAUCCCAGGUCAGGUUUUUUUCUUUUGUAUUCUUCUGAUGUCCCAAAUCGAUGGCGAGCUACCCAACCUGAACCAAGCUGGACUAUAAACAUCUCAUCAAUCUGCAAUAGAGCCCAACGGAUUAUCACCAGUGAAAUUCUCAAGAUUCAUGAACUUGGACACUUCAAAUCUACCUUCAUUCCCCCACAACCUUCCUCCUCAGCCUUCGGUCCCUAUUUUGUGUUUUAGUAUUUGUAUUUUUUAUUAUUUAUUUCUUUUCUUCAAUACAAUCGAUUGAAAUCUU